GUUCCUGAGAUGGGAAUGAUAGAAAAUUGAGAGCUCCCUCCCUUGGAGUCAAGAGUCACUGUUAGAUUCAGACCAGAAGGAUUGGGAUUAAAAACCCAAAAGUGGUUGUUUAAGUUGAGUACAGCAAAACUCAGGAUGAGGGAGUCUCUGGCCAAGCAGCAUUUAUUACCAAUUCAACCAAUGCAGUUAAGAGUCAGCCACCUUGCUGUGGUCUGGAGUCACAUGUAGGCCAGAUCAGACUGCCAGAACAUGCUGUAAGUGAGAGAUUGACGUAGCACUGUGUCAUUCAGCAACAUGGUCACUCCCUUCUAAGAUGCCUGCUGACUAACGUGACAAGCUGCCUGGCUUGUUUCUGCACUAAUCUGCAAGGCAAGGCAGAAAUACUGGAAGCCUUUAAACUCCGGCUGAGGGCUGAAACACUAAAAGGUGCUGCCAGACCUCCUAAGCUCCUUCAGUUCUUUAUGUUUUCCAGUAGAUUGCUCAAAUUUCUCUAUGAAGAAGUGAUAUUAGAAUCUUUGCCUGGAUGACUUUUAUAUUUGCUUUGAGACAACCUCCAUGGUCUUUUAAGUGAGCGAGUCUGUCAAAUGUUGAGCUUGCAUUUGUUCGCGAAUAGCUAAUUACGUCAUCGAUACAGUUUUAUUGGAGAGAAUACUCUGCUAAUAUCAGAACAUCUGUGCUGAAUGGUACUGUGUCUUGAUAGUGACUCUGAGGUCUUGGAAUAUAUGGUCAGGGCAGGCUGAUACAAGAUCUCUGCCUUGUUCAGACUUAUUACUAGACUAAAGUAAAUGUUUCGAGGCUAUGGCAAAGCGAUGAACAGGAUGCUUAACAUUCUCCCAAGUAUUACAGCAUCAUCAUCUGCAAACCAGACUUCACUCAGUAACGGUUCAGUAAACUUUGUGCAAGUCUUGAGACUUUAAAUUGAAGAGUCAUGCUCCUUCUCUAAUCUAAAUACUACUCCUGUGCCAUUAUCUCUAUGAGUGUUUGGAGCAUGGCCAAGAAAUAUAUGAUAAACAAGUCUGCAGCCAGAAUAUAGCCCUACUUGAUGCCCUUGGUGACAGGAAAACAAUCCAAUAAUCUUUUACAUCCAUAAGAGGGCACAAUGAACUUGGAUUUAACACCUCUUCUAACCUUCCCAUGACCUUCCCUUUGGUUCCGCUUGCUCCUUCCCACAUUUUUCUGUAAUAUAAAACCCAUCACUUUUCUAUCUCUCUUAUACUUGUAUGUCUGAAAAUAUGCUCAGGGAUUCAGGACUGGUUUUACUUUUUGAAAUUAUUUUUAAAUAUGUGAGUUUCAUUUUCAUAACAAACUCCUCAUUUGCUAAAUCAAAAUAUCUGAUUUUCUUGUUUUACGUAUGAUCAUAUCAUUUACACAUGAUCAGGUACAUGUUGAAUUGAAAGCAAGCCCACAUUUUUAAAAUUUCAACCUCAUGAGUGAAAGGAGAGAAAUUUAUUCACCCCUCCUAGCUUAUGGCUAAUAUCACCACCAUUCCACAACAAAGACAUGGCUCCCAUUUAUAUUAAUUUCCAUCAGGAGACAAGGGAAAACAAUUUUCUUAAAUGGAAUGGUUUUGCUACAUAGGCAGGCACUGAACCAGUAAAAGUCAGCUACUAGCACAGAAUGGUGACAAUAUUUAAAGACCAUUACACAAAACACGAUUAUCCUAAUCGGUAAUUUAAAUUAAACUAUGAUACUGAGGAUCAAGAUAUUGAGACUUCCUAGAGUUAACUGAUACAUUAUCUUUUUGAGUUUUAUCCAAAAUUCAAACUAUGGUUGUAAUUUCUUAGGUUCAAGAACGUAAUGCCUUCUUUAAAAAGUCUGCAUAUUUCCUGUUUUGUACAAUUAUUUAUGUUGAAUUCUUUUUUCUUUAUUUGCCUUUGUAUAUAGAGUGUUCUUAACAACUGUAUAUCAGCAAAUACAGUGUCUGCUUUACAGCAGUCCCAAAGGUUUCAACUUUACAUUACACAAACAUGAGAUAAACAACAUACAGCAUGAGUUGUGUCCAAGCAAACUGCACCAAUUUUGUAAAAAUAAAAUCAUAUGUUUUCCGGAGUAAAGAAAAAAAAGUUAGUGCAGCCUGGCUGGCUGUUGCAAUUGGUUAGGUCGUUAUUGGAGCCUCAUCUAAAGCCAGCACAGAUUUAUGUGGUAAAGCCAUUUCUGUCAAGUAAUGAAAUGGUCUAAAGUGAAAACCUUUUCAGCCUUUCAAGCUCCAAAUGCAAGCAAAAACAAAACACAAAACCAUGAAUAAUUUAGUUCUAAACCUGCAGUUUCACAGUCAGAAACAAGGCUGGACAUUGCUGUGGGAUAUGGAAAUACAGUAGCCACAAUAGUGCAAAAAGUCAAACUCUUUUGAGAUUAGAAGUAAAGCGCCAAAACUAAAAUUUCUAAAAAUACAUAGGAGAUCCUUUCACAUCUGUUACAUACAGAUUAAUAAUUCCAGUGCAAAUCUUUGUUCUGAAUUAUUACAUCUGGAGAAAUAAUGUUUAUUUAUUAAUAUUUUCUAUUUUUGUUUCAAAAAUUCAACCUUAUUUAAAAGUGUGGACAAGAUAUACAAAUCUCUCCUUUAUAGCCUAACAUAGUCUUAUAGUGAUCAAAAGUCUUUGGGAAUAUGCAGGUGCCAGAAUGGUUGUGUGUUUUCUCUGUCCAUGUCUGAUCUUCUGGACUCCAUUAGCACAGGAACUAUGCUGAGCACUUAAGGCUCACCUGAAAAGUCUACAAUGGUACUGAAUCACCUGGGAAUCCCUGCCCGGUCAAGAACAACACUCUACCUGAUCUUCGGCACUGGCUCCACAUUCUCCACUGAUCACAAUCUGGAAUGUUUUGACUUUCCUUCUUUAAUCUCUCUGCUGUCUUCGAAACUUGUGUCAGCUUUAAUUUAUUUGUCUGACCCCAGUUGAUUUUACCGACCAUGGACAUUUGUCCACAUGUUGCUUAUUCAAAGACCUCCAAUAGAUUGGUUAAACAUAGCUUACUUUUCACAUAACUAUAUAAAUUCUGGGUGAUCACCUUGAGGUUAUCCAAUUCUGCAGCCAUAUUUUCUUUAAUAAUGACUUAUAAUAUUUCCCCACAGUAAAUUUUAAGCUAACUGACUUGUAGUUUUUUGCAUUCUACAUCCUUUUUUGAAUAAAACAGUUACAAUUA